GAAAUGCGAUAAGUAGUGUGAAUUGCAGAAUUCCGUGAAUCAUCGAAUCUUUGAACGCACAUUGCGCUCUCUGGUAUCCCGGAGAGCAUGCCCGUUUCAGAAUCAGUGAACACAUCCUCGCCAGCGCAUCCCGGAAGCCCCGGCUGCGCGGGCGGAUCUGAGCGCCUUUUGGUUCCCUUCGCGGGGGCCGCAAGCCGCUCGAAAACAAUACAGCGUGGAAUCGUCGGCUCCGGACGGGUCUGAGGGGUCGGGCACGUUCCGGGGGCACAUCCAAAGUGCAACAGAGACCUAGUAGUCACUCGCUUUGGUGGGCCUUCAAACCGGCGUCGCGCUUCCAAAACAAAAGGUCGGGUCCCGACGGUAGGUCGGGCUCGCUCCGAACUUUGGUCUGAAAUCGGGC
rnacentral:misc_RNA from 1 species